rnacentral:antisense_RNA from 1 species
AGCCUGAACUUUCUCAUCUAACACCUGUUCAAGUCGGAGGAUGCUGAUUAAUUCAUGAUGGAAAGCUCUUUUUGGACUAAAAGGCCCUCAGCAUUCCUGGCAAUUUCUACACUCCUGAAGCUUCAUCUGGAGACGUCUGUGGAUUCUAUAACUCAAAGACCCAGGCUGAUGGCUGGUGGAAUAGCUACCAUCUCAAACAUGGCGUGAUGCUGCAUCAGAGGGAAAAAUAAGCUCUUGCACUGGCAAUGAAAUGUCUACCCUGUAGUGACUUGUGCUUACUUCCACUCACAAAUGAUUGCCCAGAGCUACUUACCUGGCUCCAAUCUACCACUGGGUCAGACGUUUGCCGAAUUCAGUUCUGAGCUUUUGAACCAAAAGCAGAUCUUCAGAACAAGAAAGAAGAUAAUAAAAGAGAAACACAAAGAAACUGAAGAUGAUUGGAGAUAUAUGAAUCAAGAUGAUUAGACCUAGCAGAGGGCUGGCUGGAUGGCAUUUAUGUUGACGAUGGACUCCUACACAGAGGAUGAUCGUGGUCUAGGA